UACGAAGGGGGCUAGCGUUGCUCGGAAUUACUGGGCGUAAAGCGCACGUAGGCGGCUUCUUAAGUCGGUGGUGAAAUCCUGGAGCUCAACUCCAGAACUGCCUUCGAUACUGGGAAGCUCGAGUCCGGGAGAGGUGAGUGGAACUGCGAGUGUAGAGGUGAAAUUCGUAGAUAUCGGGAGGAACACCAGUGGCGAAGGCGGUUACCUGGAGCUUUGCUGACGCUGAUGCGCGAAAGCGUGGGGAGCGAUCCGG
rnacentral:rRNA from 1 species